CCUACGGGAGGCAGCAGUGGGGAAUAUUGCGCAAUGGGCGAAAGCCUGACGCAGCGACGCCGCGUGAGGGAUGAAGGUCUUCGGAUCGUAAACCUCUGUCAGCAGGGAAGAACGGUCACUGUGCUAAUCAGCAGUGAAUUGACGGUACCUGCAAAGGAAGCACCGGCUAACUCCGUGCCAGCAGCCGCGGUAAUACGGAGGGUGCGAGCGUUAUCCGGAUUCAUUGGGUUUAAAGGGUGCGUAGGUUGUUUUAUAAGUUAGCGGUGAAAUACCGAUGCUCAACAUCGGGGCUGCCGCUGAUACUGUAGGACUAGAGAUCGGAUGCAGCAGGCGGAAUGUGUAGUGUAGCGGUGAAAUGCAUAGAUAUUACACAGAACACCGAUUGCGAAGGCAGCUUGCUAGGCCGGAUCUGACACUGAUGCACGAAAGCGUGGGGAUCGAACAGGAUUAGAUACCCGUGUAGUC
rnacentral:rRNA from 1 species